rnacentral:tRNA from 1 species
GGCUGAAUAACAUAUAGGUUAUGUCUUAGGUUGCAAACCUAAUUAAAUUGGUUCGAAUCCAAUUUCAGCUU